CCCACCUGCAUAAGCAGGUAUCAUUAUCUGAAUACAUAGGGUAAUGAGGCGAACCGGGGGAACUGAAACAUCUAAGUACCCCGAGGAAAAGAAAUCAACCGAGAUUCCGAAAGUAGCGGCGAGCGAAAUUGGAUUAGCCCUUAAGCCUUUAAUGCGUCAGGUGAAAGUUCUGGAAAGGUCUGCGAUACAGGGUGAUAGCCCCGUAACCGGCAGCGCAUUUUAGGUGAAAUCGAGUAGGGCGGGACACGUGAUAUCCUGUCUGAAUAUGGGGGGACCAUCCUCCAAGGCUAAAUACUACUGACUGACCGAUAGUGAACCAGUACCGUGAGGGAAAGGCGAAAAGAACCCCUGUGAGGGGAGUGAAAUAGAACCUGAAACCGUGUACGUACAAGCAGUAGGAGCACCCUCGUGGUGUGACUGCGUACCUUUUGUAUAAUGGGUCAGCGACUUAUAUUCAGUAGCAAGGUUAACCAUCUAGGGGAGCCGUAGAGAA
rnacentral:rRNA from 1 species